CGGUUAUUGCAAGAAGCAAAUUUUGCUAAUUUCUUGUGUGUCCCCUCUAUCUUAAUCAUCACAGCUGAGAAAUAUAUAUCUUGAUUCAUCUAAGACCCAUCUUUUUUUUUUUUGUGGUUACAUUAAAAGGGAUCGUUAAUAAUAACUCAAGAUUCCCCACCAUCAACAAUAAGCUAGAAAGGUCAACAAGUCGUUAAUCUUGUCUUGUAUGGUAAGGUCAAGAAAGACAG
rnacentral:lncRNA from 1 species